AUUGAACGCUGGCGGCAUGAUUUACACAUGCAAGUCGAACGGUAACAGGCCGCAAGGUGCUGACGAGUGGCGAACGGGUGAGUAAUGCAUCGGAACGUGCCCAGUCGUGGGGGAUAACUACUCGAAAGAGUAGCUAGUACCGCAUACGAUCUAUGGAUGAAAGCGGGGGACCGUAAGGCCUCGCGCGAUUGGAGCGGCCGAUGUCAGAUUAGGUAGUUGGUGGGGUAAAGGCUCACCAAGCCAACGAUCUGUAGCUGGUCUGAGAGGACGACCAGCCACACUGGGACUGAGACACGGCCCAGACUCCUACGGGAGGCAGCAGUGGGGAAUUUUGGACAAUGGGCGCAAGCCUGAUCCAGCAAUGCCGCGUGCAGGAAGAAGGCCUUCGGGUUGUAAACUGCUUUUGUACGGAACGAAACGGCUCUGGUUAAUACCCGGGGCUAAUGACGGUACCGUAAGAAUAAGCACCGGCUAACUACGU
rnacentral:rRNA from 1 species